AAAACGCGGGCACCCCUCGAGCUACUUCAUCGCCUUUUAACCUGUUGCUGGAUCUUUCCAGAUCACCUCACCACAUCACCCAGCCACUCUGCCCAAUGGGAGGGCAGACAGUGUUCCAGUGUGGGAGGAAGGGGUGUAAGGUGCAGGUAGUAUGUGAGGAGGGCACCAAAGAGAGUUACUGCGAGAAAGUCUGCAUGGUCAAAAGGUGGAUUACCAAGAACAAAGCAUCAUAAUGUUGUCCAGUUGAGCCCAGCCCCUUUUCUGAGGCCUCCCUUGACCAGAUAUGAUUAAAUAUUUAUCGAACUAAGGACUCAGCUUACUUGGAGUGAAAACUCUUCAGGGCCUCUCAGAGCUACCUAAGAUAAGUACCUUAUUUUACUAGCUCUCAAAUAAAGCUUCUUUUAUGCUCUGUCUUUUUGAUAUAUAAAAUAAGGUCUAAUUAGAAAGUUUUAUAAUGGAGGCAGUCAAUUCCCCAAUUCCUUAUUUGUUUGAAUUAACUUUUAAAAAAUUGGUGUGUUCACUCUGGUGUUGGCUCAAUCCAGACUCUGUAAUCAGCCAACAAUCUGU
rnacentral:antisense_RNA from 1 species